rnacentral:lncRNA from 10 species
ACUCUGUCAUCCCAAGUUUUCCUUGCCCAUGGAAAACUGAACAGAAAACUGUUCACAAUUGCAAGAAAUACUAAAUUUCAUCUCCGGGUCAGUGAAGAUAAAGAAAAUGGAGAAAUGUGGGCUUAAAGAGGAAGGCAGUUACACGGACAUAGAUCCAGGUAUCUAAUAGAUCUGACUUAAGUGCCUCUGUGCUAUGUUAUUUGGCACAUGAAAAUGCAUGACCACGUUAUCUUCAUUGUGAAUAUUUUACGCCACUUGAAUCCAGCUUUACUAUUGUUAACGCAAAAUAUCUGAGACAAGUCUCAGCCAGUUUAGGAAGUUUAUGUUGCCAAAGUUAAGGAUAUGCCUGUGACACAGUCCGAUUGUCCUAAACAGUUCCCAGCCUGACUUUUCCCUUUAGCUUAGUGAUUUUGGGGUCCCAAAAUUUAUUUUCCCUUCACACUAUUAAUACCAUCUCCAUCUCCACUAUUUUUCCCCCUCCCAUUCUCCUCCUCCUCCUCCUUUUCUUGCUCCUCUGCCUUUUUCUUCUUGUUCCGUGCCCAUUCUGGUUUUUUUUUCAACUUUCCUGCACUUUUUUGUUUCAAUGUGCUUCCCAGCACUUAGUUGGGCUCUGAUUUUAAUCAACUGCAAGACACUAUCUGUCUUGCAGUAUUAUAGUAUUUGUUUAUUUCCACUAUUCUAAUUUUGAUUUAACUUGAGACAUCUUGUUUUAUGCUUUCUCUUUUAACACUUACUUUGUUUUCUCAUGUUUUGGAAGAGGUAUUUAUUGAUUCAACAAUAUUUACUCAAGAAUAAAUGUCAUAUAUUGUGACA